rnacentral:lncRNA from 1 species
GGGAGCGUGUACUGAACGUCCGUGAUCGGAGUGUCUUUGGGGUCAGUCAUGGGCUCUGGUGGUCACCGAAAAGUCUGAACAGAUCAACUACCGAGAGUCCUGAGGUUUAACCAACAGACAAGAUAUGAAUAAAGAAAGAGAAGGUUCCAGGACCUAGAUAUUGUUAUUUAUGGGGACACUCUGGCAGCUGUGAUAUCUAACUAGAAAUUAACAGGAAUAUCCACAAGAGACAGAACCUCUGCAUUGCCAACUGUUUUCAGAGAACAGAGAAUAUGAUCC